rnacentral:rRNA from 1 species
AUUGAACGCUGGCGACAUGCCUUACACAUGCAAGUCGAACGGCAGCACGGGUGCUUGCCCCUGGUGGCGAGUGGCGAACGGGUGAGUAAUACAUCGGAACAUGUCCUGUAGUGGGGGAUAGCCCGGCGAAAGCCGGAUUAAUACCGCAUACGAUCUACGGAUGAAAGCGGGGGACCUUCGGGCCUCGCGCUAUAGGGUUGGCCGAUGGCUGAUUAGCUAGUUGGUGGGGUAAAGGCCUACCAAGGCGACGAUCAGUAGCUGGUCUGAGAGGACGUCCAGUCACACUGGGACUGAGACACGGCCCAGACUCCUACGGGAGGCAGCAGUGGGGAAUUUUGGACAUUGGGCGAAAGCCUGAUCCAGCAAUGCCGCGUGUGUGAAGAAGGCCUUCGGGUUGUAAAGCACUUUUGUCCGGAAAGAAAUCCUUGGCCCUAAUACGGUCGGGGGAUGACGGUACCGGAAGAAUAAGCACCGGCUAACUACGUG